GACGAACGCUGGCGGUAUGCUUAACACAUGCAAGUCGAACGAGACGAGAUGGAAGGAUCCUUCGGGUGACGGAAAUCUUAGAAAGUGGCGAACGGGUGAGUAACGCGUGGGUAACCUGCCCUAUGGAAAGGAAUAGCCUCGGGAAACUGGGAGUAAUGCCUUAUAAGAUACAUUUGUCGCAUGGCAGAAGUAUUAAACGCUCCGGUGCCAUAGGAUGGACCCGCGUCCCAUUAGCUAGUUGGUGAGAUAACAGCCCACCAAGGCGACGAUGGGUAACCGGUCUGAGAGGGCGAACGGUCACACUGGAACUGAGACACGGUCCAGACUCCUACGGGAGGCAGCAGUGGGGAAUAUUGCGCAAUGGGGGAAACCCUGACGCAGCAAUACCGCGUGAGUGAAGAAGGUUUUCGGAUCGUAAAGCUCUGUUAUUGGGGAAGAAAAAAGACGGUACCCAAGAAGAAAGUCCCGGCUAACUACGUG
rnacentral:rRNA from 1 species